UACGUAGGGUGCGAGCGUUAAUCGGAAUACUGGGCGUAAAGCGUGCGCAGGCGGUUCGUUGUGUCGGCGGUGAAAGCCCCGGGCUCAACCUGGGAAUGGCCGUUGAAACUGGCGAACUGGAGUGUGGCAGAGGGGGGGUGGAAUUCCGCGUGUAGCAGUGAAAUUCGUAGAGAUGUGGAGGAACACCGAUGGCGAAGGCAGCCCCCCUGGGUCAAGAUUGACGCUCAUGCACGAAAGCGUGGGGAGCAAACAGG
rnacentral:rRNA from 1 species